UCUCUCAUGACUCAACUUUUUGGGUUGCCCUUUUUCCUUCCUUAACGUCCCAUCAUGUCAUCAAUUACCCACGUUGUCUUCUCUUCUUUAUCUUCCUCCACCAUCAGAAUUACUAUGUUAUUAUGUGAAUGUGCAAAUCAUUUAAUCUGAACACAUAUCAGUAUUAUUAGGGCAUGCUCGAUCAACUCAACAAGCUUUGGGAGAUUGACAGAAGAAAGGGAGCACAUGCUGCAAUUAUAUCAACACAUACCUUUGCCGUGCGUGCUCUCUUUUCUUCCUGUCAAUCUCGAAUCAUUUGUUUUCUCUUUAUUUCCCUUCUAACUUUUUUUCCUUUCCCUUUGUCCUCGUUAAAUUUCUCGACUCCCCGUGUAACUGCAGAUCGAGUGAGCUUAUAUAUUGUAUCCUCUUUAUGAAUUCUACACUAGUUUUUCUGCUUCCUGUUUCUGUGCCAGCAUUGAUUAACUUGCUCUUACUAAUUGUAUGAAUAUGAAUAAGAAUCGUGUCAGUACUCUUUGGUUUAAACACCUAACCUAAUAUAUAGGAAAAAAAAAAAAAGAGAAAGGGAGGAUGAGAUAGAUCUAUGCGAUAAAAAACAAAGACUGAUAAAUAUGAGUGUAAAAACUGAGAUACAAAAUAAUCAUAAUCGUUAUUGUAUAUUAGUAGCUAGAUUUCUCUUUUCACUUCAUUUUGUUUGAGAAAAAAGUGAAAGAUAUGAAUAAACUCAUCAAUUACAAAGAUAAAACAACUCAUCAUCAUGUAAAAACAUAGUUGAAUUUUUCUUCUGAUUAUUUUUAUUUUUAUUUUGUUAUCUGUACAUUUUUCCUUCUCUGGAUCUCUCGGAGUGAAUGAAGAGUUUCUGAAAGCAAGGAUCAUUGUUCAUGUAGCCCUAAAAUGGAACAUGGCAGAUAACUAUAGCUUCUCCUGGUGACUUAGAAGUUUUGAUAUGGUUUUCUCCAUUCUGAAAUAAAACAGAAUUAGUUGCCUAAACGGAGUUCCUUACAAAAGGUGCCUUCAAAUUUGGUACUAUUCCUUAUCCCAGCUGGCUAGUGUUUUCCAGAUUUGACCUUUCUGCUGAGUUUACCUAUUUAUUAACAUGAGGUAAGUAAGUCUUCUAUAAGUACUUUUCCCACUAGAAAUAUAUAUACAUAAUUACAUAUGUUAUCUAUCCAUUAACUUGGAAGGAAAUCGUGAUGGUGAUAGAAGGCAACAUGUUAUUUUAUUGAUAUAUCAUUACAACGCGCUUGUGGACAAUGAGAUCAUAAAAAUCAUCAGGUUGGUGAAUAUAUGGGUUGUAUGAAGUCUGCAAAAAUGAGACCAUAAUCUGUCAACAAAUGACAGGUAACAUUCUUAAUUUUGUGUGUGUAAUCAUGUAUACUUUUUUUGUAAUUCUAAAAUGGAGGCUGCCCUUCAGUUCUCAAAUAAUUUACUUAUAACAGCUAACUAUAAUCAGAAGGUCUCACUCUCAAGUUGACAAAUGGAUCAUAGGACUAAACUUAGUAUAACUCAGAAAACUUCAUCAUCAUCUUCAAAGCAACUCUACGUCAAUGAAUAUACCAUUUGGAAUCAAUUCCUUCAGUUAUGAAUACAACUCGGGUGAUGAAGAGUAGUUAUCAAGUUGAAGCAAGCUUUCAACCAAGGUCAAAUGUCAAAGAGGAAUACUAAAUAUCAACACUUUUGUUUUUAUUACAAUGAUACUGAAAUAUAAUCACUCUUCCUUCGUUGAGCUCAA